rnacentral:rRNA from 1 species
CAGCAGCCACGGUAAUACAGAGGGUGCAAGCGUUAAUCGGAAUUACUGGGCGUAAAGCGCGCGUAGGUGGUUUGUUAAGUUGGAUGUGAAAUCCCCGGGCUCAACCUGGGAACUGCAUCCAAAACUGGCAAGCUAGAGUAUGGUAGAGGGUGGUGGAAUUUCCUGUGUAGCGGUGAAAUGCGUAGAUAUAGGAAGGAACACCAGUGGCGAAGGCGACCACCUGGACUGAUACUGACACUGAGGUGCGAAAGCGUGGGGAGCAAACAGGAUUAGAGACCCGCGUAGUCCCUGUCUCUUAUAC